rnacentral:rRNA from 1 species
UACGUAGGGACCCAAGCGUUGUUCGGAUUUACUGGGCGUAAAGGGCGCGUAGGCGGCAAUUCAAGUCAGCUGUGAAAUCUCCGGGCUUAACUCGGAGCGGUCAGCUGAUACUGCUUUGCUAGAGUGCAGAAGGGGCAAUCGGAAUUCUUGGUGUAGCGGUGAAAUGCGUAGAUAUCAAGAGGAACACCUGAGGUGAAGACGGGUUGCUGGGCUGACACUGACGCUGAGGCGCGAAAGCUAGGGGAGCAAACGGGAUUAGAAA